GAUGAACGCUGGCGGCGUGCCUAAUACAUGCAAGUCGAGCGAACAGACGAGGAGCUUGCUCCUCUGACGUUAGCGGCGGACGGGUGAGUAACACGUGGAUAACCUACCUAUAAGACUGGGAUAACUUCGGGAAACCGGAGCUAAUACCGGAUAAUAUAUUGAACCGCAUGGUUCAAUAGUGAAAGACGGUUUUGCUGUCACUUAUAGAUGGAUCCGCGCCGCAUUAGCUAGUUGGUAAGGUAACGGCUUACCAAGGCAACGAUGCGUAGCCGACCUGAGAGGGGGGUCGCCACAAUGGGAACUGAGACAGGUCCACGCCCCCGAGGGGGGGCAGAAGGGGGAACUCUCCCGAAGGGGGCGAAAGCCUGAGGGAGAAACCCCGGGUGAGUGAAGAAGGUCUUCGGAUCGUAAACCUCUGUUAUUGGGAAAGAAAAAAUGUGUAAGUAAAUAUCCACGUUUUGACGGUACAUAAUAAGAAACCACGGCUAACUACGUG
rnacentral:rRNA from 1 species